UGUUUAGACUCGUUUAGCUUCGACACACUUCCCUCAUACAUUGUAAGGAGUUUUCAUGGUGGAAGCUUAUGGCCCCGUUUCACUCCUCAAAGAUACUCUCAUGUUCUCGUAAGCUAUUUUGCGUCUGGCUGGUUGUUGCUGUUCUCCUAUUCUUCUUGCUGGUGUUUUUUAUUUUUCUUUGCCUCGCAUGUUUAAAGCUAUUUUUGUUGUGUUUCUUUUUUUGUAAGAGUGUUAUUUUGUUUCUUUUGAUGCUUAACGGGGUAUGCCCCCGACUUGUUCUCGUUAGUGCUUAUGCGCUAUUUUUAAUUAUUAUAUUUUAUUUACACAAAAAAAAAGAAGAA